CCGACUUUAGCUCAGUUGGAAGAGCAUCAGACUGUAAUGGCUUACAUAAUCAACUCCUAUCUGAGUUAAUCUGGGUGUCGCCUGUUCGAACCAGGCAAGUCGGA